GUCAAAACCCAUUUUCCCCCACAUUUCGACCAAGUCAAACCUAGGGCAAGAAAAAACUUCCCAAACCCAAUUCUUCUCCACUAAAUUACCUAAAUCUCCUCCACUAAAGCGCCCAAAUCUCUUCCUUACCUGUUUCUUCAGUUCCCAAUAGCCAAUAAACAGUGAAGUCCUUCACCACCUCCGCCGCCGCAAACCAUCACCUGUACAAAGGAGGCCCAACAUUGCCAAGAAAGAUGAUUUGUGAGGGCAUGACCAGUGAGAAGAGAGUAGAGGUUUACCCACUUUCUCUCAAUUUGAUUGAUUCUAGGACCAACAUAUUCUUCUGGAGGUUCAAGUUGAUGGAGGUUAUUCUUCUCGCUUUGACAUGGAUUCCACCGGAAAUGAACUAGCUUUGGUACCCCUAGAACCAUCAAGGUCAUCCCUAAUAAUUGCUGGGGGCCUACCAUGUCAAAUGGUCACUCAAUAGGUUAUAGAUUUAAUCAGUAUCAGGGUAGUUCUUUGGGCUCAGCAUUAACAAAUAUGGAUACGACUCUUAUAACACUGUUAAAAAAGGAGAGAGGGGAGGUUUCGCUGGAUUACAUAAUCUGGGAAAUACUUGCUUUAUGAAUAGUGCCCUUUAAUGUUUAGUCCACGCACCUCUUCUUGUUGAGUACUUUUUGCAAGAUUACAGUGAUGAGAUUAAAAAUCCUUUAGCAAUGCAUGCAUGUGGGUUAUUUAUUUAUUUAUUUUU